CUCUUCCGAGGGGACUAUGCCCCUCAUCAUUGCCGCUACGCUAGAUCAAGUGGCGUCAUGUAAUUCCUGUUGCGGCGUCUGCACUGUGCCAAACUGCGUGGCCACGAGGAGAAAUGAGCCAGUCAAGACCAUUCCCGCUCCAUAUCACUUCUUCAUGGAAAACCAACAGUGUACGAGGGUGAAGACUGAAGGCUGCAAGGGAAAGUU
rnacentral:lncRNA from 1 species